rnacentral:lncRNA from 1 species
CUGCGAGGGAGGAGGGGGGCGUCCAGUCAAGGCUCAGUCAGGGACAUCCCUGCCUCAGUUUACAUCCUUCUUCUUUUCAACAGCAGAUGAUAUACGUGGUGCCCAGGUGGCUGCACGUGGAAGGGUUCAGCGCCGCCGCAGCUGGAGCAGGGGGCACUGUGUCCUGGUGGCCACCAGGAUCCCCUGCGCCUUGGCUCCUGGCUGAUCCUCCAUCCUGCCCUUGCUGAGGCCCCCGAUACCAGAGAAGAAGCAGUGCUGCAGUCUGCUGGUGACCGUUCAGAUGUUAAGGUGCUACAGGACCCGCAGAUGGCUGGUUCAGGUGGAGACCUUUAUGGCUGGAACAGCUAAAUGGUGGGCAGGCCACCAGCCGCAGGCUCAGCUCUGCUGCUCGCACGCAUUUGAUGAUUAAAAAGAGAAGUUCACCUCAGGCUUGCAAGAUGGCAACCAUUAUGCAAGAGAAGUGCCGGCAAAAUAAUGCAGUAAUGCAGUCGGGCAUUGUUACAGGGUAUCAUAAGCAGGGGAAGUCUGCAUCUGUCAUCAGAAUUCAAACAGAAGGUGGUGAAACCAUGGCAGUUGUUUCAUUUGGAGGACAGAAAAAACAAAACAAAACCAAAAAAGACUUGGAGAAUGUAAUUUGUGAUUACAACAACAAUUGUUGUAAUUGCAACAUGGGAUUCAGCAGCAGAAUAUGCCGUGCUGUGCAACCACAGAGAAAUAGUGAUGCUAACACCCCAAUUUACAGAUUGAAGUUCAGAGGAAAAUCGGGUUUCAGUCAAAUGAGACUGAUGGGACCAGGAAGUCGGACCCCGCAGGUUUUCCAUUGCACAGAGAAGCCACAUCUGAUAAUUUUUGGAAUGCAAUAUUCUGUCCAGCUCUGUUGUUCCUUGCCCAGACACUGA